GGUUGAGUUUAGCAGGAUCAGAUAAUAGACUAAUUUAGCAAAAGAUUGAUUGUUUUUGAGAACCCUAAAAGUACAGGUAGUAAGAAAUAUUUUACUCUGGUCAAAGUUUUCUCCGUUUACACGAACACUCUAAUGUGGUUCUGCAAAACAUCUUGGUUGGUUUUACCUUGGUUUUAAACCCCAGAAGAAAAAGUCCAGUCCCUACUAAAGCCAGGAUGAACUAGUUGAUGAGUUAAGUGUCUUUGUAAACAGCCCCACGCUUUAGAGAUUAAGAACACAGCAGUGUCAGCUGUGUGAUCGGCAUAGCUUGGGAUCCUGGACUAGACAGGAAAUUGUCACUUUCUCUUUGUCCAGCUGUCUGCCAUAUGCCACCUAUUGAACACAGUGGUUUAUGUUGAGAAAACAUGAAUAAUUCAGUGCCAGAUACAGCUCCAAUGCCUGGAAAUUCAACUAUAUAUACAGGUCCUAAUAGUAACUUCAUAAUUACGUGAGAAGAUCAAAUUAACAUAUUAACCCUAUGUGCAUGAAGAUAGAGCCAUUUAGAAUUUCAUUUAUUAAUAACGUGAUAAUUUUAUGAAAAUAUUGCAUCUUUGACAAAGAAAAGCGUAUACAUCUGUCAUUAAAUUGAUCGACAUGCAAACUCAGUAUAUGGGGUUUUUAUAGAAUUCUGAGGGUCAGUGUCUGAGUGAUUGGUGACUUUGCAGCAAACGCAUACAAAAAAGUCACAUCUGGACUUAGGAUUUUUUUAAUUUGAGGAUCUAAGGGAGACUAUUUAAAAGGAGGUUGCGUGGUGCUAAAUUAAGCCUCAUUUUUAUAAUACGCAUUCUCAUAUUCUUGAUAGGAACAUUGUAUAUUGCCAACAUGUCUCUUAUUGCACAUUCAUUUACGUCAUCUCUUUUUUGUUUUGGAAGAUUGUUGCUGUACUGUCUGUGCCAGUCUUCCUCUAUUUUGUAUGUAGGACUCCACCACAGCAUGGCUUGAUGAGCUGUGUGCAGGUCUGCGCCUGGGAUCCAAACCAGUGAACCCCGGGCCGUCAAAGCGGAGUGCACAUACUUAACCACUACGCAACCAGGCUGGCUCCAUUUACAUCAUAUCUUUAUCUGUUAGUCUGUACUCCCAGAAUGUAGCUGUUGACUUACUUCUUAGGUUUUAGUUAAGAUCUCUUCAUAUAGUAUCCUCAUUGCACAGCUUUGAAAAAGUUGGAACCUGCCCCCCUCACCACCCUCUGUCAAGAUUUCUUUGAAUUUCCAGGGAUCUUCUUGCCAUUUCUUGUUUUUAGCUCCUUUUCCAACUGAACUCUUAAUCUCAUUCAUAUCUUCCCCUACCUAACUGUCCCAUCGGUCUGCACAGACUCAAACAUGAGCUUCAGGCUCUUUUUCAUGAUUUUCACACACAAAAAAAUCACACAGUGCAUUAUGAGUGUGGAGAUUUUAAUGAAAAUUUGGUGAUACUAAGAGAGUUCAGAAUCAUAGUCAUACCAGUAAUUUCAAACUUAUAGUAAACAGCCCUGUUCUUGAAUAUCUUACUGGUCAUCCUUUCUCCAUAGACUACAGGAUUUUGCAAAUUGUUGAUUCCUCUCUCUCUCUCCUCUUUCUUCUGAUCUCUCUCCAUUCUUCUCAAAUUUCCAUAAGAUUUUUACAGAGAGUGAGGUUUAGCUAUGCUUUAUCCUUUCUCUCUUGUCUCCCCUGGCCCUCGAGUGGCUCAUAAAGAUAUUUUUUCUUUCUAAAUGGAAUUCCUUCCCAAAGAGAGACUCUGGAAUCAGCUGUUAUAAUAAUACUUAUUUUCCCCACAACAAAUACAAUUGUUAUGCAGAAUAUUGCCAAAUUCUGAGCCCACUUGCUAUCUUUCUCCCUGUGUUUUUCUAAUAUGUAGCGUAU
ensembl:lncRNA